rnacentral:rRNA from 1 species
AUUGAACGCUGGCGGAAUGCUUUACACAUGCAAGUCGAACGGUAGAGGGGGCAACCCCUUGAGAGUGGCGAACGGGUGAGUAAUAUAUCGGAACGUGCCCAGUCGUGGGGGAUAACGUAGCGAAAGUUACGCUAAUACCGCAUACGAUCUAAGGAUGAAAGCGGGGGAUCGCAAGACCUCGCGCGAUUGGAGCGGCCGAUAUCAGAUUAGGUAGUUGGUGAGGUAAAGGCUCACCAAGCCAACGAUCUGUAGCUGGUCUGAGAGGACGACCAGCCACACUGGAACUGAGACACGGUCCAGACUCCUACGGGAGGCAGCAGUGGGGAAUUUUGGACAAUGGGCGCAAGCCUGAUCCAGCAAUGCCGCGUGCAGGAUGAAGGCCUU